GAUGAACGCUGGCGGCGUGCCUAACACAUGCAAGUCGAGCGGAGACAGUGGAGUGCUUGCACAAAACUGUUUUAGCGGCGGACGGGUGAGUAACGCGUGAGCAACCUCUCUCUCAGUGGGGAAUAACACAGGGAAACUUGUACUAAUACCGCAUGAGACCACGGUACCGCAUGGUACAGGGGUCAAAGAUUUAUCGCUGAGAGGUGGGCUCGCGUCUGAUUAGAUAGUUGGUGAGGUAACGGCUCACCAAGUCGACGAUCAGUAGCCGACCUGAGAGGGUGAUCGGCCACAUUGGGACUGAGACACGGCCCAA
rnacentral:rRNA from 1 species